rnacentral:tRNA from 1 species
AUAAGACCUGCAGGACUCUAUCCAACAUCU